UUCACUUUCCGACUGUGAAUGAUGUUAUUUUGAAAGAAUUUACAGACACAACAUGUCCAAAGCUUUGGCUUCUGCUGAGAUUUGAAAAAUACGGACGGAGAAAAGUGCAAAAUUGCAUCGGAUUUCCUUUCCAAUGUCGCCCGUAUUGAAUUGUAUACAGCGACAACCAGUGCAAAUGUAUUGAUAACAACGCCGUUUCAUGCACGUUUUCACCGACAAUGUUAUCAGAAGUUUACGGACAAAAGGAAGCUGGAACAAGCACAGAGAAAACGUAAAAUACCUCAAGAUUCUGAAAAUACUGAAUUUGAAGAACCAUCUGAUAUCCCUCCACAACCUAAGACGCCGUGUAGGGAUCUACGAUCUCGGUGCUCAUCUGCCAGCUUUAGACGAUCAGAACAUGUGCUUCCAUCUGAGUGUAUCAUAUGCCAAAAAGUAAUUAAAGAUCUGUACAAGCACGGAAAGAGGGCCAAAGAAACUCUGACUUCAUGCCAGUAUAUUGACGGUGGCAAAUUACUACAACAAGCAAUCAAUGAACAGAACACUAGGAUUCUCAUUAAUUGAAAGUACUGGUACAGGAGUGUAGACCCCUAAUGUUGUAGUUGGUUUCACCACUAAUUACAUGUCAUUCCCUUGCUAAUCCUUGCAUUGAGUUUCGACGUAAUGUAAAUGCGUAUUUGUAAUGCACGCACAUCUUCACAUACGCAACGUAAUGAGCAAGCAAGUAAAAGCCAGGUGCUGAUUCACUUUACGUCCAAACUACAAGCAAGAAGCAUUUAGCAGUCUAAACCAAGUUAUAAUAUUUGUGAAACCUAAUUUAAUUGAAUUCACAAUUGUGGAGGCAACCCAGGAAGGCAAUUGGCAGGAGGAAGAGCUGCAAACUCUAAUGUGCGAGGUGGAGGCAAUUAUCAAUAGCCGUCCACUCACGCAGUCUUCAGAUGACCCUGACGACUUAGGGGUCAUUACUCCGAAUGAUCUGCUGUUGAUGAAAGCAGGUGAUCUUCCUCCUGGGAAAUUCAGCCCAAUCAAGACUGAGCCUUGAGAUUUUGUGAUAAUUGAUGUGUGUGAGAUUGUGUGAUAAUUGUUGUGAGAUUGUGAGAUUGUGUGAUAAUUGUUGUGCAAAGCAUUUUUUAUGUGCAUUCAAUUGAAGAGGUGUUAAUGUUAUUAAUAUGUUUAGUCACUUAUUCUAAUGAUAUUGAGAACACUUCAUAGUGAUCAUUGUUUAGAAUUAGUAAUAUCGCAAAGGUUUGUCGAUAUUUAUUUAUGAAUUAAUAUUGAUAGUAUUAGUGAUGCCCUUUGAUAUUUGUGUGUCAAAUGUAGACAUCACUCUGGAUAACGAAUAAGUAAUCGUUUAAAUAUUAGUUGUUAGCAUAAAUAAUUAAAUAUCAUAAAUUAUCAGAGAAUAAGGACUUUUUUGUACCGGGUGGUUAAAUAUUGAGUUUAGUAAGAUUUAAUGAUGCAAGUUAGCAUAGUGCGUAUGAUUGAAACAGCAAUUGGUUGUACAAUAAAUGUGGUUAAGAGCUA